GACGAACGCUGGCGGCGUGCCUAACACAUGCAAGUUGAGCGACGAACCAGGGCUUGCCCUGGGGCAAAGCAGCGAACGCGUGAGUAACACGUGGGUAACCUACCCCGAUAACCGGGACAACCCGAGGAAACUCGGGCUAAUACCGGAUGUGCUCACUGGACUUCGGUUCAGUGCGUAAAGGAAGCUUCGGCCUCCGUAUCGGGAGGGGCCCGCGGCCCAUUAGUUUGUUGGUGAGGUAACGGCUCACCAAGACCGCGAUGGGUAGCUGGUCUGAGAGGACGAUCAGCCACACUGGGACUGAGACACGGCCCAGACUCCUACGGGAGGCAGCAGUGGGGAAUCUUGCGCAAUGCGCGAAAGCGUGACGCAGCAACGCCGCGUGGGGGAAGAAGGCCUUCGGGUUGUAAACCCCUUUCAGGAGGGACGAAGGUUCGGCGGUGAAUAGCCGUCCGGACUGACGGUACCUCCACAAGAAGCCCCGGCUAACUACGUG
rnacentral:rRNA from 1 species